rnacentral:rRNA from 1 species
AUGGUUUUAGCUGGCUAUUCAUCUUUCUCCUUUUCAUUUCUUCGUUGGCUCAUCUUUCUAAUUAGUUCCUUUGAAUUUAUUGUGUUUUGCAGAGAGUUUGGCCCAAUGCAAAGCCAUAGCAAACUGCGUAUUGCCUCUGCAUCCGCACAACCUGUUGUGCCCGGGCUCCAUGGUUGGGCAGACCUCCCAGAUGGUCCACUAAGCUCCAUUCUUGCACUGUCAGGGUCCUUCCGUGAUGUUCUUGCCUUCGCGGCAACAUGCCGCUCUUGGCGUGCUGCAUUCUCCUCAUACCCAAACAAAUCUGCCUUCUGCACCAGAUUCCCACCUCUCCUCGUCCAAUUCAAUGUCUGUGUUCAAGCUCCUGAUCUCCCGUCUAACAAGGGUCGUCACGAGCUACGCACAUGUAAGGUCAUUGAUCCAAUCAACAAGAACAUUGCCCUUCGCUGCCAGAUUCCUCAAGAAAUUUAUCAGGAGAUGCAUUUUGCUGGCACUUCCUAUGGUCAACUAAUUUGCGGCCGUGCUGGAUAUUGUCUUGUUGUUGAUGUGUUCAGUGGUGCCGUGGUUUGUCCCCCACGUCUCCCAUUCAGCGGUGAUUUUGAGUUUGGGAGGGAGUUCUACUUCAGUGGCACUUUGACGGCUCCCAUUGCAUCACCCAACUCACACCUCCUUGUCAGUACUGCAAUCUCCCUGUUUGAUUGGCCGGUCAGAAGUGACUCUUGGUCUGAACUCCAGCUUUCUGAUGAAUCGAUAGAACAGCUUGUGGAAUUCAAUGGUCAGUUCAUCGCCAUGGAUGAUUGUUAUAAGAUCUACGCUUUGCAGCUGUCCCCCCAGCUUGGUCUGCAGGAGAUAACAACUGAGUGGGUCGGUCACCUGCCCCCAACCUCGUACACGAAACCAUAG